rnacentral:misc_RNA from 1 species
GCUUAAUCCUCAUAAAUUUUUCUUGAGCAUUUUGCUCUUUGUUAACAUCGGGAUGAUACUUGAGAGCAAGUUUGCGAUAUGCCUUUUUGAUUUCAUCGGCGGUCGCUGAUGAAGAUACCCCUAAAACUUCAUACGGAGACUCUUUUCGACUUGCCUUAACCAAUAUAUGUUUGUAUUUUUUUCCUCUUCUUCCAAUAAUAGCUACCUAGACUAUUCGAGAAGCACAUUCGUCUAGGUAUCGCAAAGCUUCCAUACUCAAUUCUGCAAACAAAUCUUGAAGUUAACUCUCUUAGGUUUUGAGGAAAAUGAAAAUUG